rnacentral:lncRNA from 10 species
CGGCGCUGGCGAAGAGCUGCUGCGCGGUGAGGCCGGCCUCGGACACGUAGCGGGUGCUGCCGCUGAUCAGGUUCAAGGAGUACAUGUGCAAGUUUUCAAGUUUUUUACCUGGUUAAUCACAAACAUCUAUAACUACCAAACACAGCUUCUGAACAGCAUUGAGUGUUUGUCAUUCUACCCUGAAAUAAUGUGAUUACAACAGAAGCAAGGCUCAACACCACAUGGAAGCUGCCGAUGCUUGGGGCUUCCACCCUCUGAAGCAACAGCCUGAGCUGUACCUUGGCCCCUUUUAGUCAAGGCUGGAGCAGCUGGGAUGAAGGUGGUCCACACACCACUAUUUUGAAAACUACUUGUCCAGUGGAGAGAGAAAGUGUCAAUCAUGCUGUCAGACCUGAUGGGCGAGCUUGAGGCAUGCACAGGACUGAGCCUCCUGGUGAGAUGCUGAUCUGUAUAGAUUGGAAGCCAGAAGAUAAAGGCACCUGUGAAAAUGUUGGCAAGAUGACAAGGAAAUAGGUAAAUGUGCUCAGGCUUUUAUUCCCAGGACUCCCUCCUGUGAUGUUGCCUUGGCCUGGCCCUGUUGCGGAAGAUCUGUUCCUCUCAAUGGGCCUGCUCUACAGGAUUCUCUCUCAUUCUAGUUUCCAGCAACCUUUCCUUCCCCUCAUCUCUUCUAGCCUAGUGGUAGUAGUAGCUGCUUCUAGUCUUGGGUUCCUGCACUCUCUUGUAGUCCUCUUCACCCCACCUAUGCUUUAAUUAAACCCUUUGUAAAUAAACCCUCCUUAAAUGAUCCUAAUUCGUGUAUGCCAU